rnacentral:rRNA from 1 species
UUAAAUUGAAGAGUUUGAUCAUGGCUCAGAUUGAACGCUGGCGGCAGGCCUAACACAUGCAAGUCGAACGGUAACAGGAAGCAGCUUGCUGCUUCGCUGACGAGUGGCGGACGGGUGAGUAAUGUCUGGGAAACUGCCUGAUGGAGGGGGAUAACUACUGGAAACGGUAGCUAAUACCGCAUAACGUCGCAAGACCAAAGAGGGGGACCUUCGGGCCUCUUGCCAUCGGAUGUGCCCAGAUGGGAUUAGCUUGUUGGUGGGGUAACGGCUCACCAAGGCGACGAUCCCUAGCUG